rnacentral:misc_RNA from 1 species
CAGAGUUGUCAAAGACUCCCAAAACCCAUGUGAACAUACCUCUGUUGCCUCGGCGGGGCCUACCCGGUAGUUACCCUGUAGUUACCCUGUAGCCCCGCCGGCGGACCAUCAAAACUCUUGUUUUUAGUGUAUCUCUGAGACAUACUUUAAAAUAAGUCA